GAGCGGGAAAAGCUCAAAUUUAAAAUCUGGCGGUCAUGCCGUCCGAGUUGUAAUCUGGAGAAGCGUUUUCCGCGUCGGACCGUGUACAAGUCUUCUGGAACGGAGCGUCAUAGAGGGUGAGAAUCCCGUCUCUGACACGGACUACCGAUGCUUUUGUGAUGCGCUCUCGAAGAGUCGAGUUGUUUGGGAAUGCAGCUCAAAAUGGGAGGUAAAUUCCUUCUAAAGCUAAAUAUUGGCUAGAGACCGAUAGCGAACAAGUACCGUGAGGGAAAGAUGAAAAGCACUUUGGAAAGAGAGUUAAACAGUACGUGAAAUUGUUGAAAGGGAAACGCUUGAAGUCAGUCGCGUUGGCCGAGACUCAGCCUGGCUUGCCUGGUGUACUUCUCGGUCGACGGGUCAGCAUCAGUUUUGACCGUCGGAUAAAGGUUGGAGGAAUGUGGCAUCUCUCGGGAUGUGUUAUAGCCUCUGAUUCGCAUACGGCGAUUGGGACUGAGGAACUCAGCACGCCUUUACGGUCGGGGUUCGCCCACGCAACGUGCUUAGGAUGCUGGCAUAAUGGCUUUAAGCGACCCGUCUUGAAACACGGACCAAGGAGUCUAACAUGCCCGCGAGUGUUUGGGUGUCAAACCCGAGCGCGUAAUGAAAGUGAAAGUUGAGAUCCCUGUCGUGGGAGC
rnacentral:rRNA from 1 species